rnacentral:misc_RNA from 1 species
AGGUAUGGCUUUGCCCACUCAACUAAAUUUUGUUCUCCGGAAAGUCUGGUUUUGUUUAUAGCCCGCCUGCCAGAUAGCAUUUCGAGAAAGACCACCCCGAAACUGUACACGUCAUUUUUUGGUGUUAGAUGACCUGUUGCUAUAUACUCAGGAGCUGCAUAUCCUUCGCUACCCAAAACUCUUGUGGAGACGUGGGUUUCACCAUCUAUGGGUCCAUCCCUGGCCAAACCAAAGUCAGAGAGUUUGGCAUUAUAGUU